rnacentral:pre_miRNA from 12 species
UAGGGUGACCAACCACUCCGGUUUGCCUGGGACAGGGAACUUUCAGUAUUAAAGCUAGGCCAGUCCCAGGCAAACUGGGAGAGUGGGUCCCCAUAGGUCUAG